AAGUCGUAACAAGGUUUCCGUAGGUGAACCUGCGGAAGGAUCAUUAUCCUUAGCGUAGUAUUACUACUAAUACUACAAGCGCAUGACACGUAUGUGUUUGCGUUUAAAUCCACAUCAGCUCUGUUCAUUCAGAGUUGAGCUCAAAUCCAUGCUCGCACUAUGCAAGCAUCGGUCGGGUACCUAAGCUAGCAAUAGCAUAAGCGGCAUACGUGCUAUACGCGCCGUGUGGCUUAAAGAUUAUUCAAGCUCGUUUGAAUAACGCCCGUACUAGCAUUUAAUUUUUAUACUAUUUUAAAAAACGCAUUAAUUUAUUUUGUGUCUUAUCGUAUUCUCGUAAUACUUAAACACAAAUACAACCCUAUGCGGUGGAUCACUUGGCUC
rnacentral:misc_RNA from 1 species